GUAUGGCGCAGAUUUCGCAUUAAGUCAUCCGCCUGGGGAGUACGGCCGCAAGGUUAAAACUUCAAUGAAUUGACGGGGGCCUGCACAAGCGGUGGAGCAUGUGGUUUAAUUCGAAGCAACGCGCAGAACCUUACCAGUGUUUGACAUGGUAGGACGGCUUCCAGAGAUGGAUUCCUUCCCUUCGGGGACCUACACACAGGUGCUGCAUGGCUGUCGUCAGCUCUUGUCGUGAGAUGUUGGGUUAAGUCCCGCAACGAGCGCAACCCUCGCCUUUAGUUACCAUCAUUUAGUUGGCUACUUUAAAGGAACCGCCGGUGAUAAGCCGGAGGAAGGUGGGGAUGACGUCAAGUCCUCAUGGCCCUUACGCGAUGGGCUACACACGUGCUACAAUGGCAACUACAGUGGGCAGCAAUCCCGCGAGGGUGAGCUAAUCUCCAAAAGUUGUCUCAGUUCGGAUUGUUCUCUGCAACUCGAGAGCAUGAAGGCGGAAUCGCUAGUAAUCGCGGAUCAGCAUGCCGCGGUGAAUACGUUCCCAGGCCUUGUACACACCGCCCGUCACACCAUGGGAGUUGGAUUCUUCCGAAGGCGCCGCGCUUAACUGGCAAGGAAGGCAAGGCAAC
rnacentral:rRNA from 1 species